rnacentral:rRNA from 1 species
AGUGAACGCUGGCGGUAGGCCUAACACAUGCAAGUCGAACGGCAGCACAGUAAGAGCUUGCUCUUACGGGUGGCGAGUGGCGGACGGGUGAGGAAUACAUCGGAAUCUACUUUUUCGUGGGGGAUAACGUAGGGAAACUUACGCUAAUACCGCAUACGCCCUACGGGUGAAAGCAGGGGAUCUUCGGACCUUGCGCGAUUGAAUGAGCCGAUGUCGGAUUAGCUAGUUGGCGGGGUAAAGGCCCACCAAGGCGACGAUCCGUAGCUGGUCGGAGAGGAUGAUCAGCCACACUGGAACUGAGACACGGUCCAGACUCCUACGGGAGGCAGCAGUGGGGAAUACUGGACAAUGGGCGCAAGCCUGAUCCAGCCAUACCGCGUGGGUGAAGAAGGCCUUCGGGUUGUAAAGCCCUUUUGUUGGGAAAGAAAAGCAGCAGGUUAAUACCCCGCUGUUCUGACGGUACCCAAAGAAUAAGCACCGGCUAACUUCGUG